AGUAGUUAUCUUUUUCGGUCA
rnacentral:snRNA from 1 species